GUAAGAGUGGAAAUCAAAGGGAUAG
rnacentral:piRNA from 1 species